rnacentral:lncRNA from 1 species
AGAGAGAGAGACAGCGUACUGAUCGUUUAUAUACAUAUUGGAAUCCUUUCCCAGUGUUUCUUGCCCAUGCUCUGUGUGCAAAUUGUCAACCAAACAAUAAAGAGUCUUCCUGAUCCUUUUCAUAUGGGGUGGCUUCAAUCCAUGCUCUCGCCACUGAAGAAGAUUUUGCCUCGCAUGCAUUCAGACCAGAAAAAGGGUAUGUCCCAAAAGAGUAUGUCCCUGAACUCUUCUCCUAGAUUUCUAAUGCAUUACUUGGAAAUGUUGCCAACAUAACUAUUUCUAAAUAAGUUCCUUAUCUAUUAAUUCCUGUCCCUUUUUGAAAAGUUAUUUGGCACGCAUAUACUUCAUUUCUAAACCUAAAAAUCUGUUUCAUUUCUAAACCUAAAAAUCUGUUCUUUUUCCUUUUUUUUCCUUAAUGCUGCUUCCCCUCCUUUAAGAUAUGUUUGCUU